rnacentral:rRNA from 1 species
UACGAAGGGGGCUAGCGUUGUUCGGAUUUACUGGGCGUAAAGCGCACGUAGGCGGAUCGUUAAGUCGGGGGUGAAAUCCUGGAGCUCAACUCCAGAACUGCCUUCGAUACUGGCGAUCUUGAGUCCGGAAGAGGUGAGUGGAACUCCUAGUGUAGAGGUGGAAUUCGUAGAUAUUAGGAAGAACACCAGUGGCGAAGGCGGCUCACUGGUCCGGUACUGACGGCUGAGGCGCGAAAGCGUGGGAAGCAAACAGG